CUUCGGAAAUGAGAGAGCGGCGUACGGGUGCGGAACACGUGUGCAACCUGCCUUUAUCUGGGGGAUAGCCUUUCGAAAGGAAGAUUAAUACUCCAUAAUAUAUUGAACGGCAUCGUUUAAUAUUGAAAGCUCCGGCGGAUAGAGAUGGGCACGCGCAAGAUUAGCUAGUUGGUGAGGUAACGGCUCACCAAGGCGAUGAUCUUUAGGGGGCCUGAGAGGGUGAUCCCCCACACUGGUACUGAGACACGGACCAGACUCC
rnacentral:rRNA from 1 species